rnacentral:rRNA from 1 species
AGUGGAUGGGGAGCAACCUAGUUGUGCGUGUGUAAAGGUAGUGCCAAGAAAAGCGAUGAUCAUGUUGAAAAUCAAUUCCCGGUACCCGAAACCGACACAGGUGGGCAAGUAGAGAAUACUAAGGGGCGCGAGGUAACUCUCUCCAAGGAACUCGGCAAAAUGACCCCGUAACUUAGGGAGAAGGGGUGCCACCGAGAGGUGGUCGCAGUGAAGAGGCCCAGGCGACUGCUUAGCAAAAACAUAGGUCUCUGCAAACUCGAAAGAGGAGGUAUAGGGGCUGACGCCUGCCCAGUGCCGGAAGGUUAAAGAAGUUGGUCAGUUUUAGGAUGAAGCUAGCGACUGAAGCCCCGGUGAACGGCGGCCGUAACUAUAACGGUCCUAAGGUAGCGAAAUUCCUUGUCGGGUAAGUUCCGACCCGCACGAAAGGCGUAACGAUCUGGGCGCUGUCUCGGAGAGAGGCUCGGCGAAAUAGGAUUGUCUGUGAAGAUACGGACUACCUGCAUUUGGACAGAAAGACCCUAUGAAGCUUUACUAUAGCUUGGAAUUGUGUUCGGGCUUCCUGUGCGCAGGAUAGGUGGGAGGCGUAGAAGGUAUUCUUGUGGGGAUACUGGAGCCAACGGUGAGAUACCACUCUCAGGAGGCUAGAAUUCUAACUUAAUUAAGGACAGUUUCAGGUGGGUAGUUUGACUGGGGCGGUCGCCUCCAAAAAGGUAACGGAGGCGUACAAAGGUUCCCUCAGACUGGUUGGAAAUCAGUCGAAGAGUGCAAAGGCAGAAGGGAGCUUGACUGCGAGAAGUACAGUUCGAGCAGGGUGGAAACACGGUCUUAGUGAUCCGACGGUGCUGUGUGGAAGGGCCGUCGCUCAACGGAUAAAAGUUACUCUAAGGAUAACAGGCUGAUCUCCCCCAAGAGUUCACAUCGACGGGGAGGUUUGGCACCUCGAUGUCGGCUCAUCGCAACCUGGGGCGGAAGUACGUCCCAAGGGUUGGGCUGUUCGCCCAUUAAAGCGGUACGUGAGCUGGGUUCAGAACGUCGUGAGACAGUUCGGUCCAUAUCCGAUGUAGGCGUGAGAAUAUUGAGAGGAGCCUUCCUUAGUACGAGAGGACCGGGAAGGACGCACCGCUGGUGUACCUGUUAUGAUGCAAUUGUAAACGCAGGGUAGCCAAGUGCGGAGAGGAUAACCGCUGAAAGCAUCUAAGUGGGAAGCCCACCUCAAGAUGAGUAUUCUGGUGUAAGGUCACGGGAAGACGACCCGUAAAUAGGCACGAGGUGGAAGUGCAGAGAUGUAUGAAGCCGAAGUGUACUAAUAGACCGUCGGCUUGAUC